rnacentral:lncRNA from 1 species
CAGGGUAAUCAGAUUAUCCUUGAGGUAUUUCAUGUUUUCUCAUGCUUUUAGAUUUAUUUUAGAAUCAAUAUUAGAUAAUAAAAUUAGAUCUAAAGAUUUGGAUCUAAAAUAAAUAUAAGAUAAAUUUUUUUAAAAUUAUUCCGCCUCAGAUUUGAUGAAAUCUGGAAGAUCCUACAAGGAAAAUGGUAGUUUUUCCUUCACAAACACAUUUGCACUAAACCCAAUUGAGAACUUGGGUUAAUUCAUGUACUAGC